AGUAGGAUUGCUGGAUUAUAGGGUAAGUGUAUGUUUAAAAGAAACUGCCAAAGUGUUUUCCAGAAUGGCUGUACCAUUUAUUAUUCCCACCAGCAAU
rnacentral:pre_miRNA from 1 species